GUUUCAGACGAACCCUUGUGGGAUUGAAGC
rfam:Halobiforma lacisalsi AJ5 contig_62, whole genome shotgun sequence.